rnacentral:rRNA from 1 species
UACGUAGGGUGCAAGCGUUGUCCGGAAUUGUUGGGCGUAAAGAGCUCGUAGGCGGUUUGUUGCGUCGGCUGUGAAAUCCCGAGGCUCAACCUCGGGUCUGCAGUCGAUACGAGCAAACUAGAGUGUUGCAGGGGAGACUGGAAUUCCUGGUGUAGCGGUGAAAUGCGCAGAUAUCAGGAGGAACACCGAUGGCGAAGGCAGGUCUCUGGGCCGAUACUGACGCUGAGGAGCGAAAGCCGUGGGGAGCGAACAGG